rnacentral:rRNA from 1 species
CGAAGCCUUCGGGCUUAGUGGCGCACGGGUGCGUAACGCGUGGGAAUCUGCCCUUGGGUUCGGAAUAACAGUGAGAAAUUACUGCUAAUACCGGAUGAUGACGUAAGUCCAAAGAUUUAUCGCCCAAGGAUGAGCCCGCGUAGGAUUAGCUAGUUGGUGGGGUAAAGGCCCACCAAGGCGACGAUCCUUAGCUGGUCUGAGAGGAUGAUCAGCCACACUGGGACUGAGACACGGCCCAGACUCCUACGGGAGGCAGCAGUGGGGAAUAUUGGACAAUGGGCGAAAGCCUGAUCCAGCAAUGCCGCGUGAGUGAUGAAGGCCUUAGGGUUGUAAAGCUCUUUUACCCGGGAUGAUAAUGACAGUACCGGGAGAAUAAGCUCCGGCUAACUCCGUGCCAGCAGCCGCGGUAAUACGGAGGGAGCUAGCGUUAUUCGGAAUUACUGGGCGUAAAGCGCACGUAGGCGGCUUUGUAAGUAAGAGGUGAAAGCCCGGAGCUCAACUCCGGAACUGCCUUUUAGACUGCAUCGCUUGAAUCCAGGAGAGGUGAGUGGAAUUCCGA